AUCCUAUCUGGUAGUUCAGUCAGUAGAGAAUGAGAUUCUUGAUCUCAGAGUCAUGGGUUCAAGUCUCAUAUUGGGCA